rnacentral:rRNA from 1 species
GAUGAACGCUAGCGGCAGGCUUAAUACAUGCAAGUCGAACGGUAAGGUCUCUUCGGAGAUACACGAGUGGCGCACGGGUGCGUAACGCGUAUGCAACCUACCUUUAACUGGGAAAUAGCCCCGAGAAAUCGGGAUUAAUGUCCCAUAUUAUUCUCUGAUAGCAUUAACGGGGAAUGAAAGCUCCGGCGGUUAUUGAUGGGAAUGCGUGACAUUAGCUAGUUGGUGAGGUAACGGCUCACCAAGGCAACGAUGUCUAGGGGUCCUGAGAGGGUUAACCCCCAAACUGGUACUGAGACACGGACCAGACUCCUACGGGAGGCAGCAGUAAGGAAUAUUGGGCAAUGGACGCAAGUCUGACCCAGCCAUGCCGCGUGAAGGAUGACUGUCCUAUGGAUUGUAAACUUCUUUUAUGCAGGAAAAAUAGCCUGGUCGUGAACCGGGUUUGAUGGUACUGUAUGAAUAAGCAUCGGCUAACUCCGUGCCAGCCGCCGCCGUAA